UACGUAGGUGGCAAGCGUUGUCCGGAUUUACUGGGCGUAAAGAGCGCGCAGGCGGUCAGAUAAGUCGAAUGUGAAAGCCCCCGGCUCAACUGGGGAGGGUCAUUCGAUACUGUUCGACUCGAAGGCAGGAGAGGGAAGCGGAAUUCCCGGUGUAGUGGUGAAAUGCGUAGAUAUCGGGAGGAACACCAGUGGCGAAGGCGGCUUCCUGGCCUGUUCUUGACGCUGAGGCGCGAAAGCUAGGGGAGCAAACAGG
rnacentral:rRNA from 1 species